UUCAAAGGUGAAGUGGAGAUAGACAAAGUGAAGAGAAAGAAAGCAAGAGAGCUUCGUCUCUGCUGCAUCUGUAACCCGAGACGACCCACCCUCAAACGAGCCAAAACCAUUCAUUGAACGCUCUUCUCUUCAACAGGGUUAAAACGUUGAACUGGAGUUGGUUUUAAAACAAGAUAACUGAGCCAACACUGAACCGGAUACAAUGAACGGUGAAGCGGAGUAGAGCGUAGAAACAACGGGAGAUUGGCAGUCACGCGCGCAAAAGAAUACGGUUUAUAAAGUUCGCGACUGUCUUGAAAGGAUAACUUAAAGGGAGCUGACACAACCCCAAAUCCAAUGAUGAGGCUACUAGGGAAGGUUCAGUUGAGUACUUAUACUCCUUUUUUCGUUAUUAUUUAUAUAAAUGUAUAAAUCUAUAUUCCCUACCCGUAGAGCUGUAGGCACAUCAAAGACGUUGUGCACUAUACAUAUCUACAGAGUCACGGAAGAUCAUAUCACCACACGAUUGUAUCCAACUGUUAUUUUUCUUAAAUAAAGAAAUAUCGACUAAAAUCAAAUGUAAUGCAUGUAUGAUGUAUGUAACCCUGGCAAUUUUUAAUGUUUUCACCUAUCCGCAAUAGAACAGCAGCUAGCUUCUUGGUUAAUCUAAUAACGCAAGAAAAUCUACAGAACAGUUUUGAAGCAUCUAAAACCAAAUAAAUGAAAAAUCAACACAAAGAAGACAAAUUAGUACGAAGUUGGUCGACACCCACCCGUUGUCAUUCUUCGUUUCGUAUCUAGAAAAAUGUAGUGGAGAAAAAUGUGAAUAAAGUAUAAUGAUAAAUCCAUUUUGUAGUAAUAAUAACUUAAACAUAAAAAUAAGACUACAAUAUCAAGAGUGUAAGAACAUAGUAUUACAUAACUAUUAAUAUCAAAAUCUGCGACUUAGAUGAACAUAAUACAUUCUAUAUUCAAUAAAAGAAAACAUAUAGUAACGAAUCAAAUAGCUAUUUUAAGAUUGAACUGAGAUUUCUCCAUCCAUUAUUAUCAGAUUAAUCACAGUCGCAAGGCGGUCCUGAGAUUUGUGGGCGGUAAUUUUUUUUCUCAAAAAUUUGGGAACCAUAGACGAAUUUUUGGGAACCCUGCACUCUCGUCACAUAAUGUGGAAAGAAACAUCCCAUUUUACACAAACACAAGUAACCACUUUCUAUACACAUAGAUU